UACGGGGGGGCAAGCGUUGUUCGGAAUUACUGGGCGUAAAGGGCUCGUAGGCGGCCAACUAAGUCGGAUGUGAAAUCCCCAGGCUUAACCUGGGAACUGCAUCCGAUACUGGAUGGCUUGAAUCCGGGAGAGGGAUGCAGAAUUCCAGGUGUAGCGGUGAAAUGCGUAGAUAUCUGGAGGAAUACCGGUGGCGAAGGCGGCAUCCUGGACCGGCAUUGACGCUGAGUGAGCGAAAGCUAGGGGAGCAAACGGG
rnacentral:rRNA from 1 species